UCACAAGGGGAUAUGAGAUGUGAAAAAAUUUUGCAACAUCUCAUAUUUGGUCUUGGCCCUGAAAGGGUUAAUAACAUGAAACUCGUAUUUGGCUGGGUCAGCCGUUAACUUCAUGAUUACCCAAAGGGGUAGUAUUGGUUGCAGUAACAGGUAAUUCAGUGGUAACAUUUUACCAGGAUGCAGUUAUUUUAGUAAUAGCUGAGCUGAAUGAUUUUUUGCUGUUUUCAUAAUGAUUUUCUGGUUUUAGGUCACUCAGUAAUGGCUGAGGGCAUUACGUGCAAGUAAAUGAGGCUGAAAUGAAAAGGAAAUAUUACACAAUGGAAUGUUAUUAUGCGAUAUGAGUAAGUUUAUAUUAGGUUAUCGUUAAUAUUUUUUUUUUCCGCCAGAUGUGUCGGGUGGUGCAAAAGGCGUCACCUGAAAUAUUUCCCUGACCUCAAAUCACAUCCUAUAUUGUAAAUGUGAACUGGCGUCAGAAAAGCUGAAUGAUUUGGGACGUGAUCUGAGGUUGGGAAAAUUUUUAUCAGAAAUGCCCCUGGCUAUCAGUGAGCUUCUGUAGCGUUGCCCUUUGGUGAAAUAAGAAAACCAUCUCACGAAAUAGCACUAAAUUCAAACUCAGAUCACGGGAGCGGUUGUUAAGUUUAUGUUUCGCUUUCUAUAUUUAUAAUACAUAAGUAUGUAUACCUAACAAAUAGUAGGUAAUUACCUGGUAGUAUCCAAUAAUCCUGUUGUAUAGUAAAAAUUUGAAUUAACCCGGUUAUAAUUUUGUUAGUUUAAAUAUUAGUCUUAAGUUACAUUGUAGCGAGUUAGUUAAAUUUUUGUUUACAUUUAUGAUACCACGGUUUCUAAUAAGUUAUUGACUUAUUAUACUAAAUAAUUAUGUGCAAGUCUGCAUUAGUACGCUGUUUAGUACGUUCAUUUUUUGUUUGGCAACAAUCUGAACAGUUGUCAUAAUUCUGGCAAUUAUUACUCUUGUGUUUAGCUUGCGAUUUAUACGAAUGACAUUGCCAAACUCUGAGCAGUUGUCAUAAAUUUGGAUGUAAUACUAAAUAAUUAUGUGCCAGUCUGCAUUAUUUCUUUUUUUGUACGCUAGAGUCUAACCAUUUGUAACAUACCUAACAAUUGUUACCAUUGUCUUAAAGUAGCCAUAUGUAUUAUAUUACUGAGAUUGGCAAACUGUGAAUAGUUGUAGAAUUGACUAUAAUACUGUAUAGUUAAAUUGUUAUUUUGCAUAAUUUCCUUUUGAAUACCUUGAAAUCAGAGCAGUUGAUUUGCGUUACUUUAGUUUGCAGGUUGCCAUUUAUAUAACAGACAUUGCCAAACCAUGAGCAGAUGUCAUAAAUUUGAUUGUAAUACUGUAAAGUUAAGUUGCUGUAAUUCUACAUAAUUUGUUUUUGUUUGGGCAAAAAUCCUAAGAGUUUUCAUAUUACUGGCACUUAUUACUCUUGUGUUUAGCUUGCAAUUUAUACAAACGACAUUGCCAAACUCUGAGCAGUUGUCAUAAUUUUGAUUGUAAUACUAAAUAAUUAUGUGCAAGUCUGCAUUAGUACGCUCUUUAGUAUGUUUAUUUAUUGUUUGGGCAACAAUCUGAACAGUUGUCACAAUUCUGGUAAUUAUUACUCUUGUGUUUAGCUUGCGAUUUAUACGAAUGACAUUGCCAAACUCUGAGCAGUUGUCAUAAUUUUGAAUGUAAUAGUAAAUAAUUAUGUGCAAGUCUGCAUUAGUACGCUCUUUAGUAUGUUUAUUUAUUGUUUGGGCAACAAUCUGAACAGUUGUAAUAAUUCUGGCAAUUAUUACUCUUGUGUUUAGCUUGCGAUUUAUACGAAUGACAUUGCCAAACUCUGAGCAGUUGUCAUAAUAUUGAAUGUAAUACUAAAUAAUUAUGUGCAAGUCUGCAUUAGUACGCUCUUUAGUAUGUUUAUUUAUUGUUUGGGCAACAAUCUGAACAGUUGUAAUAAUUCUGGCAAUUAUUACUCUUGUGUUUAGCUUGCGAUUUAUACGAAUGACAUUGCCAAACUCUGAGCAGUUGUCAUAAUUUUGAAUGUAAUACU